GUCUGUCGCGACAAUAUUCAGGUCUACCGUUGCAUGUAAAUUGCAUAAAAAGGAGUCCCAAUUUGCAGUCGUCGAUGAUCAGUCUGCCUGUAAUUCCUGAAUAUGGCGCCGGUGUUGGCUUACUGGAAUAUUCGAGGUCUGGUAGCACCAAUCCGAUAUUUACUGGAAUAUGUUGGAGAAAGAAUACGAAUGGAAGGAAUUCGACUGCAAAGAAUUUCAUGACAAAAAAGAGAAGGACCCAACGCUUGACGUGCCGAACCUGCCGUACUAUGCCGACGGUGACCUAAAGAUCACACAUUCCAUCGCCAUCAUUCGGUAUCUGGGGCGCAAACAUGGUCUAGUUGCAAAAAACGAUAAGGACACAAUCGAGCAGGACAUGAUGGACGGUAUGACCUUUAACUUGAUUGUGAACUGGGGUUGGAUGGGUUAUGGCGAGCAAGACAAACUGUCGUUCGAUAUGGAAUUUCAAAAGAUUAUGCUCCAGGAACUCGAAGAUCACCUGAAAAAUCGCCAGUACUGUGUGGGCACCUAUCUUACAUACUCGGAUUUCUGCAUAUUCGAACGGUUGGAUGCCAUUCAGAUUCGUUUCCCUGGGAUUUUUGAUAGUUACCCGAACCUAAAGCAAUUCCACGAAAGCAUUGAGGGUUCCCAUUUCCAUCGGUAACUGGGUAUUCCUCUUGCUGGAGUUUAUCGAUACAGACGAUACGUAAAUACCGUAGCCAUACCAGUAUCAAUAAAGAUUUGUACAAAGUAUUAUACGACCGACGAUGUAAUGUGCCUCAGUGGUACAGACUACAGACUACAGAGUAGAUGCGUGGAAGCACGGAAUCGAAUAGCCGGUGCCGUUGGAUAGCGACCGCAAAGUUGUAAUCUGCCGAUCUUGGCAUCAUUUCCGAAGUGGACGUAAUAUUUAUAUCUAAAACCAGAGACACUGGCACUUUUGCGAUAAUAUGUGAAUGUGGAGAAAAGAGGUUGGCUAAUAAUAUUUAGGCUGCAAAAAUCGCGCAUACCUGCUCCCGCCAAACUAGACGUGGUCAAAAGAUUUCCGUCAAAAAUGUUUAGUCCUGCAGCACAGAACUGAUGAACAGUAAGAACUGAAGAACAUUAAGAACUGAAAAAUACAGGCACUGGACCUUAAACAAACGUCGCAGUUAAAAAUGAACUGGCUCACUAAUAAUACGUAUAAGUAAGUAAAUUGUCAGUUAAUGAGGACACGAAGCAGAGUAAGGCCGAAGCAAAAGUAUUGGAAUCCCAAAGAGUCCCAAGGCAAAAAAUAUUGGAAUUUCAAGGUAUCCCAAGGAGUCCCAAGGCAAAAAUAUUGAAAUCCCAAGCUAAAGUAAUUGUUGUAAACAUGGGUUUACGUUCUUGAUGCAUAUCUGUGGCCAGUGCUGUCCAGUGUCAACGGGAAAAACAUUGACGUGGUGGGAGUCGAUUGCUGGUCACCGUAAUCUCUGUGACACUUGUGCUGGCUUCCCUGGUUGUCAGAUUAUAAGUUUGCUGUUUGUUGGACUUGACGG